UACGGAGGGGGCGAGCGUUAUUCGGAAUUAUUGGGCGUAAAGGGCGCGUAGGCGGCUUCUUAAGUCAAAGGUGAAAUCCCUCGGCUCAACUGAGGAACUGCCUUUGAAACUGGGGAGCUUGAGUCUGGGAGGGGGUAGCGGAAUUCCCAGUGUAGCGGUGAAAUGCGUAGAUAUUGGGAGGAACACCAGUGGCGAAGGCGGCUACCUGGACCGGAACUGACGCUGAUGCGCGAAAGCGUGGGUAGCAAACAGG
rnacentral:rRNA from 1 species